rnacentral:tRNA from 1 species
UGGGGUAUCGCCAAGCGGUAAGGCACCGGGUUUUGAUCCCGGCAUCCCCAGGUUCGAAUCCUGGUACCCCAG